AAGUCGUAACAAGGUUUCCGUAGGUGAACCUGCGGAAGGAUCAUUACCGAUUUUAGCGGACCUGAUCUUUGGUUAUGGUAUCGCGAAAACUUGUAUUUAAAACCCCACUCUUAUAAAUUGAAUCAUUUUAUUAUAUGUAUAAUAAAUAAAGAUCACUUUCAACAACGGAUCUCUUGGCUCUC
rnacentral:misc_RNA from 1 species